GACGAACGCUGGCGGCGUGCUUAACACAUGCGAGUCGAACGGUGAAGCUCCAGCUUGCUGGAGUGGAUCAGUGGCGAACGGGUGAGUAACACGUGAGCAACCUGCCCCAGACUCUGGAAUAAGCGCUGGAAACGGCGUCUAAUACUGGAUACGAGAUCAAGCCGCAUGGUUAUGGUCUGGAAAGUUUUUCGGUUUGGGAUGGGCUCGCGGCCUAUCAGCUUGUUGGUGAGGUAAUGGCUCACCAAGGCGACGACGGGUAGCCGGCCUGAGAGGGCGACCGGCCACACUGGGACUGAGACACGGCCCAGACUCCUACGGGAGGCAGCAGUGGGGAAUAUUGCACAAUGGGCGAAAGCCUGAUGCAGCGACGCCGCGUGAGGGAUGACGGCCUUCGGGUUGUAAACCUCUUUCAGCAGGGAAGAAGCGAAAGUGACGGUACCUGCAGAAGAAGCACCGGCUAACUACGUG
rnacentral:rRNA from 1 species